CUGGUCUUGACAUCCCGAUGACCGGAACUUAACCGUUCCUUCUCUUCGGAGCAUUGGAGACAGGUGGUGCAUGGUUGUCGUCAGCUCGUGUCGUGAGAUGUUGGGUUAAGUCCCGCAACGAGCGCAACCCUUAUCUUUAGUAGCCAGCAGUAAGAUGGGCACUCUAGAGAGACUGCCGGGGAUAACCCGGAGGAAGGUGGGGAUGACGUCAAAUCAUCAUGCCCCUUAUGACCAGGGCUACACACGUGCUACAAUGGCGUAAACAGAGGGAAGCGAGAUGGAGACAUGGAGCAAAUCCCAAAAAUAACGUCCCAGUUCGGAUUGUAGUCUGCAACCCGACUACAUGAAGCUGGAAUCACUAGUAAUCGCGGAUCAGAAUGCCGCGGUGAAUACGUUCCC
rnacentral:rRNA from 1 species